AAUCACUUUCUGUCAAUUCUCAGUCAUCUAAAAAUUAAGGAAAAAUCGGCGACACGCCAUUUUUUUGAUUGAUCAUCCUGUACAAUCUGCAGUUCCAAUUGGUUGAUAUGUUUGAAUUGUUCUUCACAGUGGCGUUUUCUGCAGUCCCUUUAAUUCUUUACAGCCCUCCAAUCAGAAGCUUGAAUCUAUUUGUGGAGACGAUGAAGGAUAUGUGGACAGAGUCAAGUGUUUAUACUGGCAGGAUGUAUCCUCGUUUGAGGUCUGCUUGUGGUAGGAUUUUGAAUUGCAUACUCAAUAACACUACUAGUUAAAUUAUUUCAUUUUGAAUUCAGAGAUAGAAUUGAACCUACCCAGAUGGGCUCAAUACAUGUAAAUUCUUGGCUCUUUUUUCCCUUUUCAUGUGGGGAUUUAGCUAUCUGCUUGUGUUUUUGGACCGAUUUGUAAUGGGAUUUAGAGGAUGGAUUUGCUGCUGGAG
rnacentral:lncRNA from 1 species